rnacentral:rRNA from 1 species
CCCUUAGAUGUUCUGGGCCGCACACGCGCUACACUGAAGGAGGCAGCGUGUACUCCUGGAUCGAAAGAUUUGGGUAACCCGCGAAUCUCCUUCGUGCUAGGGAUUGAGGUUUGCAAUUAUCCUUCAUGAACGAGGAAUUCCCAGUAAGUGCAAGUCAUAAGCUUGCGCUGACUACGUCCCUGCCCUUUGUACACACCGCCCGUCGCUACUACCGAUUGAAUGAUUUAGUGAGGACUUCGGACUGGGACCGACGCGGCUUUCGGGCUGCGUCGGUAUUCUGGAAAGAUGUCCAAACUGUAUCAUUUAGAGGAAGUAAAANUCGUANCA